GUCCUGCCUGUUCUGGUGUUUAGAGGGAUAACAAAAUGCAAAAGAGUACCAAGAAAACGUGUAUUCCUUUCCAGACUCUAUCUACCCUUUGUUGGGAUUUUUAUUUUUUAAGACCACAUGAAGUUUGGUGGUAAGAAUGCACUUCACCCACCAGUGUGCUUUCAAGCAUUAAAUGCUGCCUUCAGCUGCCAUUGUGUUCAGCUUCUACAUAUAUGAAAGUGACAGAAAUAGGGAGACAAAGAAACAAGCAGUCUAAAGCCACCGGCUGCCAUUGCAUAAAAGACUCAAUAAUGUGUUCUCAUCAUGGUGAUCAUCAGGUGCCUGUCAGUUGUCCUUAAAAGUCACCAGAAGCAUUUGUGCAGAUUACAUAAACAGUCAGGGGGACUUCUGAAUGGGUUAAUGUCAAAAUCAUUGCAGAAGGUCAUUAAUCUGAUAAAAUUCAGUGGGGUUACAGAAUGUUUGUGUUUCUGAGCUUGUGUGUAUGAAGAUUUCCAAUUCACUUCCAAUGUCAAGGUUAAGGUUUUGACUUUUCAUUUUGUUGUUUGGGUGAUUAUUUGAGAAAUACAAAAAAGAUGGAGACAGAGCUGGUAAUUCUAACAGUACGCUUUAAAAUACUUUACCUUUUAAAGAAUUUUACCAUAAGAGAAAUAUUAUCUUAACAUUAUAGAGAAACUUAAUAAUACCCCUAAAGUAUUCUGGCUAGUAGAAGAAGGACCCAGACAAAAAUCCAGGUCUUUUGCGUCUUAUUUGAGUGUUCUUUCUAUUGUAGAAUUGCUCCUCUGGCCAUCUGUGAUAUGAGUAAUGUAAAAUUUUUUAUUUGACAGAGAAUUUUAUAAAUGAAUACAUGUACAUAAAUAGGUAUAUAUUCUGUGUGCACACAUUUACCUAUGUAAAUAUCUGUCUUUCUCCACCUUAUACCACAAUAUAUUUUAAGCACUGUUGAACAAUGUACCCCAAAACAUACCAGAGCCAAAGAAAAUACAACUAAUAAGACAGUGGGAGGUUUAAAAUAUAAGACAGAAAACAGAAUAUAAAGUAUGAUGACACAGUUAAGAAUAAACAUGAAAGAGAUAUUAACAAAUGCAAACGAACUAGAGUCAUUUAAGAGAAAAUCAUUCUCAAAUUGGAUCACAAAGCAAAACCAACAAAAACAAGAGAUUUAUUUAACACAAUGUGACUCAGAGAGAUCGAAAAUUAAAUGACAGAAAAGAACAUACCAAACAAAUGAAAAUAAAAUACAAGGACACAUAUCAUUAUAUCAGACAUGGUUAAAAUUGGCACACUAACACUAAAUGAAACUUAAAAGAAUCCUUAAUGCUGACAGAGUGCACUCUGCAGUGAAAACAUGACAUCUGUGAAUAUCUUUUUGCCAAAAACAUAACAUCAUGAUUCUUAAAGCAAAAACAAACUCAAACACAUACGAAAAUACACAGACAACAUUGAUACCUUAUUUUUAUUCAUUCCUCUUUGUCCUUGAUGCCUUUAUUAGAGAAAGAUUUUUAAGGGUACUGAAGCCCUAAAUAAAAUAAAACAAGGGAUAAGAUAAUGUUGACCUGACAAACUCUGGAUUACUUUGGAAACAAACUAUAUGCCUUUAUUACAAUGACCAUUUAUGGGGUUUAAUUGUAUGUAGGACAUUAAAAAUAUCUCAAUACAUGCAAAAUAGGAGAAAUAAUACAGACAACAUUCUCUGAUCACAGUAUAAUACAAAUAGAAAUAAUUGGGAAGUGACCAAAUUGGAAAGUGACAAAUGCUUUCACUUAUAAAUUAAAAACAAACAAAACCCUUUUUUUGAAAAGAUUUUAUUUAGUUAU